GUGCCACCCUGAGAAGCAGUGGAGGCCGGCUGGGAUUGGUUGUGGUCUUGGCAUUGCUGCAGAGAAACAGAAAGGAUCAGCGAGAUGAACUUACUGUACUGUUCUACUACAAUCAUAAGGAAUUACAGAGAAAUUGCUCCUCCAGCUCAGUGCAUUUCUGUCGGAGGGUCCUGCAGUCCUCCUCCCUCUGCUCCAGCUCCUGAUUCACCUCAUCCAACCUCUGAGACCUUGGCCAUGGCAGUUGGGUUGCUGUCUAUGGAGGGUUAGAAAGCUCUCGGAUUUCAUCAAAGAUCUCUUUAUUUGUGUUCCGAAGAUGAAUGAAGGUUUUAUAGGUUUGAAACUACAUGAGGAUGAUCACAUAACAGACUAGAGGUAACUGCUUACUUCUCCUUGCUAUGUCUGUAUACCUGAGGCCGGCAGGACCAGCAUUUCCUCUCUAAAGCGUGUUGAGAAGUCCUCAGUGCAGAUGCUGUCCAUAGUGAGG